rnacentral:rRNA from 1 species
UGGUAGUAUAAAUCUAUUUACAAACCUAUUUACAACGGCGGCAUUUAUUUCAUUAGAGGAAUCUGUUAAAUAAUAGAUAAUCCACAAUAAUUUUCACUUUCUUUAAAAACUUAUAUACCGCCAUCUCAAGAGUUAAAUUUACCAAUUUACUCUUAAUAAAAUAUAAAAAGUUAGGUCAAGGUGUAGUCAACAUUUAAGAACUUAAAUAAUGGAUUACUUUAAAUAAAUUUAUAGAUUAAUUAAAUCAUUUAUUAAAUAAAAAGGAUUUAAAAGUAAUAAAUUAAUAAUAUUAAACUAUUAAUUAAAUAAUAAAUGUGC